rnacentral:lncRNA from 1 species
CAUUGUCACAAAUUCUUUAAGAGACUUGUGUUGUAAAGAGUACAUAAUUAUAAUUUUUUUCAUGAAACAAAAUACUACUUUUUUAGCUGAAGUAUAGAGAGAAAAGCAGUACCUCUUGUUGGGGGCCUUCGGCUUACGAAGGUCCUCAAAAACAGGAUUUAACAGCAUUUUCUGGAGUAUAACGUGUGAACAGGUAUCUUCGGACUCGAAUCACGGUAUCACAGUAGGAGAAGCCCAAAGCAAUACGAAGGUUGAUACAGCGCCGAAGAUGUGAACGGGAAAGCUUCGGCGCGGUAGCAGAAAAUGAAACCGACUUAAAGAUGAAAAGGCUAUUCAGACCUCGGUGGAUUACUAUAGAAUUAUUAUCAAAUGUAAAGGGCAUGAAUGUAAUUCUGUAUGGGCUGUGUCCCGUGCCUAUAAAUAGGUGAACAGUACCCCUGUACUGUUCACGCUGACUUGGCAUUUUCUUUUGCGUCACGCUUGUACUUUCGCUUUCCUUCAAGCCGAAGGUACAUUUGUAAUUUGAUAUUAUUACUACUUUUCUAUAAUGAUAACACAGAAAUGAUUUGAUGAUAAUACAUUAUGAUUUAUGUUAUCUUUUGUGUUUCAUAAGAUUCUUUCUUCAUUAUUAUAUAUUGAAUUUACGAAGGUAUGCCCUUCACAACCUUCGUCCGAAAAUCAUUAUGCCUUAUGGGAAAUAAUGCUUCGAAGGACGAAGGACUUUAACGUUUAACAUUUCUUGUGUUGCCUUGUUCUUAAUUCAUAGCUUUUGAGAACAAGUCCCCAACAUUGGCGCCCACCGUGGGUGAACUCACUUCCACUCUUUGAGUUUUUGAACACCUUCGGCGAUCAUAAACCUUCGCUAUGGCGCCGAAGAAAGCUUCAGCAACUGGGGCUGCAGCCCUACAACCGCUGGACCCAAACCAGGAGACUCUCUCCCUUCGGGAGGCCCGAAGCCAGAAGAGGAAGGCUGUCAGCCCGACACCACUAGAGGAUGAGUUAGAUCAAGAAAUCAGAGACAUGGAGAUGCUUCAUCAACAGGUGCAGAAGAAGAAGAAAAAGAUGGUCAGGCUAGCUGAACUCCAAAGGCAGAUAGACGAAGCCUCUGAAGAAGUUCGUCAUCUUGCUCAGGAUGAGCACAACCGAAGGCCUCAACACCAAGACCUUCAUCAGGAGGGUUUCCCCAAUGAAGAUGACUGGUAUGAGAAUUUCCAUCAUGGAAAUUUUGCUUUUGAUGAUGCUUCUCCUCUGUCCGCUGAGUUGCAGGCUACACCUUGGCCUCCGUCCUACAAGCCGCCCCAGCUUCCCAUAUUCGACGGCCAUUCAGACCCGAAGCAGUUUUUGAUGAGCUACGAAGCAACAGUAUCUUCGUAUGGUGGCAAUACUGCCGUUAUGGCCAAAUCUUUUGUUAUGGCUGUCAGGAGUGUUGCUCAGACCUGGUAUUCCUCCCUUCGACCAGGAACGAUCACUUCAUGGCAGAAGCUGAAGGACUUGUUGUUAACCAGCUUCCAAGGGUUUCAGACGAAGCCGGUCACUGCUCAAGCUCUAUUCCAAUGCACCCAGGAUCACGAAGAAUACCUUCAGGCGUACGUCCGGAGGUUCUUGCGUUUAAGGGCACAGGCACCAACAGUGCCAAACGAAAUUGUCAUUGAGGCCAUGAUCAAGGGGCUUCGGCCAGGACCUUCAGCUCAGUACUUUGCUAGGAAGCCCCCUCAAACUUUGGAGAAGCUGCUCCAAAAGAUGGACGAGUAUAUUCGGGCCGAUAAUGAUUUUCGUCAAAGAAGGGAGGAGGCUUUCAGGUUUUCUGAAAUGACCAGGGGCUUCGGAGGUAGGUUCUAUCCAAGGCACGUUAGGUCAAUUCACAACUCUACCCAAAGUGAUGAUAGGGAGAGCCAGCAGCAAAGACCACAGUGCUCCUCACAAGCUUCGGGGCAACAACAAGGUUCCUUCCGACCACCAGCUCCAAGAGGCAGAGGCGCCAGGGGCUUCGGCGGAAGAUUUGGAGAUCAACCAAGAAGAAUCUUUUGCUUGUUUUGUGGUGAGAACAAAGGUCAUACCACCAGGAUGUGUCAUGUUACCAUCCAGAAGCAAAAGGAAAUAGCCGAAGCUGCAGCACAACAAGCUCAGCCGAAGCAGGUCAUGCACACUGCUUCGUAUCAUUCGCCCUACAUCCCAGAGUAUGUAGGCAAUCACCCUGCAGUUUCUGUUGCUUCGGCAAGUCAACCUCAAGCUUCCUGGCAACAGCCUCCGCCUCCACCACCGCUGCAGCAAGGCCAACAGCCAGAAGGGAGCCAAUAUGCUCCGCAUCAAAGGGACUUCAGAGAACAGUCCGAAGCUCGCACAGUCAACAGCACUGUGCCAGAGUCAAAGCACAUCUAUUGACAAAUAUCCUACCUUAAUAGCAGUCUUUUUCAUUCAGUUUUAUUUUCUAUGUAAUAAAGGACAUUGUUUAGAUUUCAUGUAAAUAGUUUCGUUGUUUGCCACAAGGAAAAUAUAUUUUCUUCACAGGCUUAAGUUGUUGAAGUUUAAAGAUUUGUGAUAACAACGAGGACCUUCGAAUUAUCAAAGUCGUUCUAAGGAACGCAGAGUAAGUUUGCCGAAGUCACAAAAAGCCGUUCCAAAUGGAGCGCAGUGUAAGUUUUCUGCUCCAAAGUCGUUCCAAAGGGAAUGCAGAGCAUACAGCGAAAAGUCAACGCUGAUACCGCCUAAGUAAAAGGCGAAGCGCGAAAAGUCAACGCGAAUACCGCUGAAAGUAAAAGGCGAAGAAGCUCCUAAGGGAGGCUUACAGCGAAAAAUAAACGCUGAUUCCGCUGAAGUAAAAGGCGAAGAAGCUCCUAAGGGAGGCUUAUAACAAAAAGUCACCUCUGAUUCAAAAAAGAUUAUGUAUUUUAUCGCAGGGAUGUAUGUUUGUCUUCGGAAUAAAUAUCAUUUUGCAUAGCAUAACAUCAUCACACCAUUUCGCAUACCAUAAGCAUCAUACAUCAUGCUGCAUAUGGCACAAGAAGGGGGCACAAUAUCGAACUACAGAGGAAUGUUUUGAAAAAGGAGAUACACUGUUGAUCUUCGGAAGUGUAGCUUCGGGAAAAAUCUUCACGAAGCUUGGAUAUUAUUCAUUGAAACACUACGGAUAUUGUCGCAAUAGAUAAAAAGUCUUCUUCAGGAAGCAUGAAAAGAAGGGAAGGUGUUUUUUCGUCAAAGACUCAAAAAUGGUACGUAUGUAAAAUUUCAUGCAUCGUAAAGAAUUGAACAAUAAAAACGGGUAUAUUACAUACAGGACUACAAGAUGUUACACAUGUUACAUUUCAGAAGUUUUUACAAUAGUAUUUAAUCUUCUUUCAGAACAGCAUCUGCAGCUUCGUUCAGGAGCCGAUUAACAACUUCGUCCAUGAUGGCUUCGACCAUCUUUUUAAUUUCGUCAUCUCCUUUCGGGUGAGGGCCCGGAGACGCUUUAGUAGGAUCUGAAGGAGGACAGGAUACGGCUACAUUGCUAUUACAAAUCGCGAACGAAGUUUAAAACCAAAAAUUACAACGCAAUAAAAACCAUUAGUUAAUACCUAUUUGCCCUUCGGGCUCUGAGCUUUUUUCAGCAGCCUUGGCUACUUCUCUAGCGUCGUGAAUGCCCUUCUCGCUUUUUUGGAUAAUUUCUCGAGCCAUUUCUCGGCCACCAUUAUCCCAGACAUCGGUGAAAAAUUUUCCACCAACCAUGCUAGCUUCGGCUGAAGGAUCGCUCGCAUCUUCGAAAGACAAGCUAGCUUCGGAUUGCGCUAAGAUUUUUACAUGUUCACAGCCCUUCUUCUCCAAAAUGGUGGCAAUUCCUCUAGCACCCGAAAAAGCACAUAUGUCUCCGCGGCUAUUUAAAAUUUCCUCGAAGGCCUCAGCUUCGUGAUUAAUCCAUUCGAUAGGACCUUCGGGGUUGCCUCUUGCAAAGUUUUCUUCGCUCGAGAAUGCGCCGACGCUGGCGAAGCUAGUUUUCAACUUCUUAACACACUCCAUGGAUUUGUUAUAGCAUCUUUUCUUGGACGAGCGAAGCUCUUCAACAGUUCCCUCUAAAUGAUUUGCCCAUUGGUCGCUGAGUUCUCGCUUCGUUUCUUCAAGGAUGCGUUCCUCUUUGGCUCUGGCCAGUUGUUUCCGAAGAUCUUCAAUUUCGCGCUUCUGAGCCUCAGCUUGACCUUUAAAAGUAGUUUCGUCUUCUUUUAUUCUAUUUAUUAAUGAAUGCAAUAUUUUAUCUUUUUCGAGAUCUUCGUUCCUCAGCUCAAUUACUUCGGAACGAAGGUUGCUCAGGGCUAUAGCGCACCCUUCGUCUUCAGCAUCUUUUUGGGCCCUGAGGGCAUUGCUAAGUAUCAGACCCUGCAAAGAAAAAUGUGUGUGCGUUAAUAGACUUAAGAAAACAAAAAUUUUAGUCUCAACAAAAAUUGCAAAGGUCCCAUUUGUUGUACCUUUAAGCUAUUAUAUGCCAGGCUGUCCGCCAGAUCGUUCUUCGACAGCACCGAGAGCCCGUCUUCUAGUGUUGGGAAUCCGAAGCUCUUGCUCAUCUCCCGACAGACAGAAAUUUCCUUGCUGUCGGGGAGACAAUACAAAAAGUCUUCUUCUCCACUACCAUUGAAUAUUAACGCCCCCUUUGGAUACUUCAGUUUUUGGCAUAAAGCUGGGCCUCUUGCUUUUCUUUUUCUGAUAAUUGUUUCCCCGAAGCAUGACGAACAAUGUAAUCAAGGACUUUGGGGGAUGCUUCGGGGGCAAUAACAUUGAUUUCUUCAACAAGAGUUGGCUUUGUUAUUUUUUCUUCCUCGGUUUCCAAGGAUUUUAUCUUCGUGGGCUCUGAGGAUACAGCUUCGGCUUCAGUUUCUUGCUCUGCAGCCUUAAUAUCAGAAAUUUCAAUUUUCGCUUCGGGAAUGGCAACAGUCUUCUUCGGAGGUGUGCUUGAGGAUUUAAUUGUUUCCAGAACAUCUUGCACAUUGACCAUUCUUUUUCUUUUCGGAGUCACUGCUGGCACCUUUUGAUCUUUUACUGUCUCAACAUUUGAUGCAGGACUCAACGCUUCUAUUGUUUUUGAUCCCUCAGUUGGUCCUUUUAUCUCUUCCAUUUUUUCUGUGGAUGGCGCUUCGGCCAUCUCUUUGGUUUCUGGUAACAAAAUCUUCGGUUCUCCCAAUUCUAUCCUUGUUGGCGCUUCGGCUAUUUCUGCGACUUCUGGCAGCAAGGUUGACUUUUCAGCUUCACUGGCCGAAGAAAUUUCUCCGGUAAAUUCAGGCACCGAAGCUGGUUCAAUGUAGCGUGGCCGAUGUGUGAGGACUUUUAUCCUUUUCCUCUUCGGUUCUGGCUCGUUAGGAGCAGUUGUAGCUUCUUCUUUCACAAAGGUUGUGCUUUUUCUUUUCUGCCCACGAAUGGGAUAACGAUAGUCAGGGUAGACAAACCCGAUUGCGUCAAACACCCGGUUCAAUCUUUUCUUUUUUCGUCCUCCGAAGGCUGCUGACAAGGCAGUAUCUUCAGCCUUCGAAUAAACCCCAAGUAGCUCAUCACUUAAAUUUUCAAUGCUCUUUAGCCAGUCAUCAUCUGGCUCAACGAAUUUAUCUCCAAACUUGAAAGUAUACUUCAGCCUGAUAAGGCCACCUUCGUCAGCCUCCUUUAUAGUCUCUUGUGGCAUUUCCCAUUUUUCCGCAAGCGGCCAUACUCUGAAGGCAAUAUGCUCUUGGACCAAAUCUCUCGUUCCAAUAAAAGAGCAGAUAACUCCGAUGGCUCUCUGGCAUUCUUCGGCAGCUUCAUUCAUUUCAACCUUCGGCCUCCGCAGGCCGAAGCUUUGCCAAAUAGGGCGCAUAAUUAUACCUUUGAUAUCUUCUCGUGCUUUCAGGUCAUUCUUCACAUAAAACCAUUAUGUCAUCCAGUCGUCGGGCCAUCUCUUCCGAAAGGUUGGCACGGGGCAGCUUGACCCAGACCGAGAAACGAAAUUGUAACAACCAAAAUUAUUAUGAUACUGUUCCUUACCCCAAGGCUUCGUCUCGUAUGAUAAUUCGUGUAUGUUACAGAAGCUUUUCGCAUCAGGUUCCAGACCUUGGCUUCUCACGCCCCACACGAAGAUAUUCAGCCUUAUGAUUGCUUCGGGGGUAAGUUGGUGAAGAUAAACUUCAAAUAUUUUCAGUACAUCUACGACAAAGUUGCUCAGGGGAAACCGUAAUCCAGCUUUCAAAAAGCUUCGGUACACUACGACUUCAUUUUCUUCAGGGUUUGGACAAGUUUUUUCUCCUUCAUCGGCCCUACAACGGACAAGUCCCGGAAAUACCUUCCUCUCAUGUUGACAAGAUGAUUUUCUUUGAUAGUUGAUUUGCCGAAAACCGCAUGGCUUGGUCGCCAAGGACGAUCUUCGGAGUCUUCACCACCACUGUCCACAUCAUAACCGUCGCUGUCACCAGUAUCUUCAGACAAACCUUCUAAAAUCUCUUUGGUGAUUUUUUCUGUAUUAGUCUUCGACAUUGCUAUGAGAAACCCCAGAUUCUUCUCUUCAUCGAGACUCAGCUUCAUCUCAGUAGUAGCUUUCUUAUCUUCAGACAUCUUCGGAAACACUAAAAAACUGUUUUCAAUGCCGAAGCUUCAAAACUUAAAAGCUAAGCAAACCUUGGUGCACAAGAGCUAAAAAUUGAGUGGGCGGGAGCGAAUGGCAAGAGAGCGUGCCAAAUGAGCUUGCGGUAUGAUCUUAUUUAUACGCCCAGUGCGUUGAAAAUGGAACAACCCCGCCUGUCAGUGAAUGUUGCUAUUCUAGCAAAGGGAAGGUGUUUUUUCGGACCUUCGGCUUAUAGCCUUCGUUCAUGUCGCAAUCUAAAUUUAUUUUAAACAAGUUUAUAUUGCGAGGGGCUACUGUUGGGGGCCUUCGGCUUACGAAGGUCCUCAAAAACAGGAUUUAACAGCAUUUUCUGGAGUAUAACGUGUGAACAGGUAUCUUCGGACUCGAAUCACGGUAUCACAGUAGGAGAAGCCCAAAGCAAUACGAAGGUUGAUACAGCGCCGAAGAUGUGAACGGGAAAGCUUCGGCGCGGUAGCAGAAAAUGAAACCGACUUAAAGAUGAAAAGGCUAUUCAGACCUCGGUGGAUUACUAUAGAAUUAUUAUCAAAUGUAAAGGGCAUGAAUGUAAUUCUGUAUGGGCUGUGUCCCGUGCCUAUAAAUAGGUGAACAGUACCCCUGUACUGUUCACGCUGACUUGACAUUUGCUUUUGCGUCACGCUUGUACUUUCGCUUUCCUUCAAGCCGAAGGUACAUUUGUAAUUUGAUAUUAUUACUACUUUUCUAUAAUGAUAAUACAGAAAUGAUUUGAUGAUAAUACAUUAUGAUUUAUGUUAUCUUUUGUGUUUCAUAAGAUUCUUUCUUCAUUAUUAUAUAUUGAAUUUACGAAGGUAUGCCCUUCACAACCUUCGUCCGAAAAUCAUUAUGCCUUAUGGGAAAUAAUGCUUCGAAGGACGAAGGACUUUAACGUUUAACAUUUCUUGUGUUGCCUUGUUCUUAAUUCAUAGCUUUUGAGAACAAGUCCCCAACACCUCUAGAAGUUGGUAGCCAAAUAAGUGCAACUCUGUAGAAAUUGUCGCUAUAAAGACAAUGUAGAAAUGUAUGAGUGAUAAUAUUUAGCAGUACUU